rnacentral:lncRNA from 1 species
GUUUACCUCCGUUAUUACACAAAGCCAUGGUUAGUAUUUCUAUUUGAUCUCUUUAAUAACAUUUUAUAGUAUAAUCUAAAACUAUGUAUGUUAUUACCUAUACUUAUCAUUUUUGUUCAUUAGGAGGAAGUAAUAGCUGGAAAGUAUCUGAAUGCUCUCCUCGAUAUACUCCAUUUUCAGAGUUCUAACGUCUGGACAGCAGAUACGCUUACAAAAGUCAUGGCAUAUUUUCAUACCCAAGAAGUUAUGUUUACUCUUAGCAGUUUACAGACAUCCCUAAAAAGUUACCUGAAGAACCUUUUAUACCAGCCUAGGCAACUACUCUCCGAAUUUCAACAGCUUGAUCAGCAGCAGUUUCAGACGGCAAUGAAAUAUCUCUUCAGCAGCAGAAAGGAGCGCCUUGUAAGUCUCUCUGCGCUGUGCUCAAGAGCUGCUCCCCACGGCUCAGACGAACGGCAGAGGGCCAGGCCGGGGGGCGCGCUGGGCACGGCUGCGUUGCCGCCGUGGGUUCCAUUCCAGCCCCCCCUCCCUUUAGCUUGG